rnacentral:misc_RNA from 1 species
GAAAUGCGAUAAGUAAUGUGAAUUGCAGAAUUCAGUGAAUAAUCGAAUCUUUGAACGCACCUUGCGCUCCUUGGUAUUCCUGGGAGCAUGCCUGUUUGAGUAUCAUGAAAUCUUCAAAGUAAAUCUUUUGUUAACUCAAUUGGUUUCUACUUUGGUAUUGGAGGUCUUUGCAGCUUCACACCUGCUCCUCUUUGUUCAUUAGCUGGAUCUCAGUGUUAUGCUUGGUUCCACUCGGCGUGAUAAGUUAUCUAUCGCUGAGGACACUGUAAAAGGUGGCCAAGGUAAAUGCAGAUGAACCGCUUCUAAUAGUCCAUUGACUUGGACAAUACUUUUAUGAUCUGAUCUCAAAUCAGGUAGGACUACCCGCUGAACUUAAGC